UGGUCUGCCUGCAUAGUCAUCUGUGCACCGUGUGUGUUCAGUGCCUACCGAGGCAGAGGAGGGAGUCUGGCCCUCUGGAACUUGAUUGACAGAUGGUUGUGAGCCACCAUGUGGAUGCUGAGAGAGCAGGUCCAUGGAGGGAAGACAUCAUAAUGUCUGACGCCAUGGCAGCCAUCUUGUGACUAUGGGAUAACAGAAGAGCAAAAAAAUCAAAAUGUGAAGGAGAGCAGAACGGAAUGACGGGAACACCCUGGAUCUCUGAGGACGUCACUGGGCUGAUCUCUAUGUCUAGACUUCAUCAAGACGAUGCAUGCAAUGAAUGGUAACCAAGCAAGAUGGGGACUGUCCUAUUUCUCAGUCCCUGGGCUGUGUGAGCUGGAAAAGUCAGACACAAUAGUUACAAGCAUUGUCAGAAGCAAGUGACAAAUACACGCCUUCCUGUUUAUAAGCUCCUGCUUCCUGACCUGCUUGAGUUCCAGUCCUGACUUCCUUUGGUGAUGAACAGCAGUGUGGAAGUGUAAGCUGAAUAAACCUUUCCUCCCCAA